rnacentral:rRNA from 1 species
AUUGAACGCUGGCGGAAUGCUUUACACAUGCAAGUCGAACGGUAGAGGGGGCAACCCCUCGAGAGUGGCGAACGGGUGAGUAAUAUAUCGGAACGUGCCCAGUCGUGGGGGAUAACGUAGCGAAAGUUACGCUAAUACCGCAUACGAUCUAAGGAUGAAAGCGGGGGAUCGCAAGACCUCGCGCGAUUGGAGCGGCCGAUAUCAGAUUAGGUAGUUGGUGGGGUAAAGGCUCACCAAGCCAACGAUCUGUAGCUGGUCUGAGAGGACGACCAGCCACACUGGAACUGAGACACGGUCCAGACUCCGACGGGAGGCAGCAGUGGGGAAUUUUGGACAAUGGACGCAAGUCUGAUCCAGCCAUUCCGCGUGCAGGAUGAAGGCCCUCGGGUUGUAAACUGCUUUUGUACGGAACGAAAAGGUCUCUCUUAAUACGGGGGGCUCAUGACGGUACCGUAAGAAUAAGCACCGGCUAACUACGUGCCAGCAGCCGCCGCGG